rnacentral:lncRNA from 1 species
UGGUUAUUGUUACAGCUUGCCUUAUAGCUAAGUUAUAGAUAAAGGAAACAAAAGACGAAGAAGGCAUACCGUUUCACUGUGGUUUUUGUGGUCAGUGAAAUUGGUAUGCGCCCAUGCAUGCUUUUAGUUCUAUGGGUGUUCAGCUUAUAGAUUAUAAGACUAGUUAAUAAGAGGUUUGAAAAUAUUUGUUUUGUACUCGGUUAAUUUGACCUUCUGGCAUUGUAAGAUAUGUUCAUCAAGUCCUUCAGUUUUAAAUCGACUCUGCUUCUUGUCGUUCUUGUUGAGCAUUUUAACAUUUGGAUGUCUCAACUUCACUGAGGUCGACAUGAAAACGACUCAACAUCCUAAAUUGCUUGCAGUGUGCAUGACUGCCAAUCUGCACCAGGGUUCUCGAUUUCCAUGGACUUUUGGAUGUCAAUAAUGCCUUGAAAUGUUUACUCAUGCAGUCAUGCCUGGUCUCGAAAGUUUCCACUUUCCUAUCACUUCCGGGAGAAUUUGACCAUGCUUAAAAAGCACUAUCAUCCCAUUUGACAAUGUUUACUCAAUUCUCAACGUACACUCCUUAAGUACAAAAACCAGGCAGCUCGAGCAAAGUAGCAGUCCGUUUGCUACGAUCCAGUACCAGUGAUGAUAGUGAGAAACGACUCCUAGCUAUUAUUUACAGACAAAAUGGACAGCCAAAACUACCAGCGACUCCAUUUCAGCUUUAUUGAUGAGCAGCCAUUGUCAUGCUCCUCCCAUGAUCCCAUCUUCUCUGUUUCUCCGUCCAUAAUGGGGCUUUCAAAACGACGCCGUCCUGCUUCGAGGAGGUGCAUACAUCGCCACUAGCUAGGUCGAAACCCUGACCCCUUCAGAACCAAGUAUAGCGACAUCGAAGUUGCUCAUGAUACAAAAAGCAUUUAUGUUUGGACUUUGAAGUGGUUGGGCCAGUUUACUAGCUAAUAUGACAAAAAUUUAACGACUAUAGAAGCAACAUGUUAGAAGCAAAUAUUAAAAUAUCGGUAUCGGUGUAUUUAUCGGUCCUUUAAAAAAAGGAGAUAUUGGAUAUAUUGGUGAUUAUAUCGGGGAAACCCGGGAAAAAAUUUCGAGAUUUUGGGAAGAAUUUUUUUUUCUUCUGAAAUAUUUAAUUUAUUGGAUUUACAUACAAAUAUUACAAACAUCACCUUCAUCUACAUCCAGAAUGAGAAUCUAGGUUGUUGAUAAGACGCACGCUGGUCCACAAAAGUACAAUAAUCAGACCAAGACAUAUGAAUCAUCUCCAAGUUUGAUAAUUGUGUAAUAGAUCGAUCUGCAUCCAAAUAUCUCUUGAAAGGAAUCAUGCUCUUCUCGAGACCACCACUCUUCAUUGGGAUACACCUCGAGGGAAUUACUUCUCUUCUGGAAAUCACUCAAGACCCUCACUCUUCAUUAGGAUAUACCUCGAGAUAAUUACUUCUAUCAUAGAUAUCACUUCAGACCCACACUCUUCAUUGAGAUAUACCUUGAGAGAAUUACUUAUAUUCUAAAUAUACCUUGAGGGAAUUUCUCUUCCGGAAAUCACUCAAGAGUCAAGAUCCUUACUCUUCAUUGGGAUAUACCUCGAGGGAAUUACUUCUAUCCUAGAUAUCACUUGAGACCCACACUCUUCAUUAAGAUAUACCUCGAGUGAAUUACUUCUUUUUCCGGAUAUCAUUUCAAUUUUUUUUACAGAUAUUUUUUUAAUAUAUUGGUGAUAUAUUGAAAAUAUCAUAAAUAUCGGAGAUAUUUACGAUAUUAGAGAAAUAUCGGGGAAAUAUCGUAGAUACAAUGGAAUAUAAAAUAUUGACCCCCUAUAGAUAUAUCGGUCUUUCAAAAAAAAAAAUUAUCGGAGGAUAUAUCGGAUAUAUCGCAGAAAUUUUAAUUCUUGGUUAGAAGUGAUUUUGGAUGUACAAGUGAAGCAUACGAAAUUCAAAAACUAAGAAAUUCAUUCUGAUAACUGUAAAAAAUAUGGGCAAUCAAAUGAAAACUGGAUCAUGAAGAAUAUAAAAUAUCGAUGAGAUAAGGUGUGCCACAACUUUGAAGAAAUUUGGAGGCUCUUUUCACGGGUGGUGUGAAAGGAAAAUGUUGUAUGAUUGACCAAUCAAACGUUCCAUAUUGUAUGAACUUAUGAUCAGAUUUGAGCCCUUUUAACGGUUUGUACGGUGGAUUGUUGCCAUGCUUGUAAUUUGGUCGAUAUGCUUAAUGUCUGACAGGUCACACAGAACUAAUUCAACUGAAAAUAUCUUCAAUAUUAUACCAUACAUUAACAAGGCGCACUUGUGAAACUGAUUAGAUGUAAAGAAUGAUACAAAUCGUACAAAUCUCCUAGCGUCACCUGAGUUACUGAAUCCAAGGGUGUGAGAAACAUGGAGAAAAGCCACAGCCGUACGUAGAAUAUGUGCGGUGGUCUUUGCUGCCAUUGGCCUACUGGUAAUGCGCGCCACAGCUGUACGUAGAAUUUGUGCGGUGGUCCUUGCUGCCAAGUUGCCUUGAGGGUUCCACUGACCGAUAUUGAUUUGAUAGCCACUUGAGUAAAAAAGAUGUAAAGCUCGACAAGACCUAAGCACUCAAAACUAAAUUAUUCAUAAUGGAACAGUACGUUGCUUUAGAUUCCAUGGAGACACAACAAGCCACAAUCCGCUAUAUAUAAGCUACAAGACCGGAAGUUGCAUCUCCAUUCCUUCUCAAAUUGAAAAAGCCAACCAAGAAAGCACAACAGAAAAGGAAGAGCAUGCAAACCAGCUCGUACUUGCUCUCAUUUUUCUCCAGCUCGAUUACGAAUUAAGCUUCCAUUGCUCUCUUUCUAUAAUACCAUAAAGGCAUAAACCAAAGAUCGAGUAUCAUCCAUUGUUUUCAUUUGUCUUCCGAUGUCAGUCUUCCCUGCACACUUCUGGCUAGCAACCUUCUUUAGUUUUACUUCGAUCAUUGCUCUAAAUACUUCUCAGUUUUUAAAGUCGUAAGAAAGGUUUUAUUCAAAAAAAAGAAGAAAAAGAAAAAGGUAUUGCCUUUAAUUACAUCAUUUCUUCUAAUUCAUGGUUUUGUUCAUUUUUGUUUACAAUGUUUUAAUACCUUUGGUGUUGUGGUUUUAUUUCACAGAUAUGCAUCCCCAUUCAUACUCUAUCUAGUGUUGGGUGGAGAAUUUGAUCGAAGGAGAUACACACCUUAUUCGUAGGUCGUCAGAGGUAUAUCAUUUAAUUUCAUUCCUCAAUUUUAUUAUCUCAGUGUUUUCCUUUUUCUCUUUUCAUUUCAUAUUUGGAGUAAUAUGAUCUAAGGACAUCUUUAACAUACUCUCUAUCUUGACUCCUUAGCUAUUUUGGAGAGUUUAUACAACUUUUUGUCAAUAUUCCAUUUUAACUUUUAUCAUUCUCGCUUUUAAAUGUAGAGAGUAAAAUGUAGGUUUUUUUUUUUUUUUUAAAUCGUAAAAUGAGGUUUUAUAUAAUUAAAAACUGUUUGAGUCUAAUUAAAAUAGAGAGAACCGAUGCGCACGUAAAUUUAAGAUGGCUAGUCAAAGUGACUAUUUUACUAUUUUGGCUAAAAAUUGACUAAAUCGGAGCUAACCUUAGAAGCGACUAAUUAUCGAACGCUAUUAUAUAACCCCCAUAAAUCUUAUUUUAGAGUUUCUAAUUGAUAAAAGCUUGUACUUUGUAAUAUAGAUAGCAUAAGUAUUAAUUACGCACACUACUGGAAAUUUUUCUUUAGCCGACGGAAACAACUCAUCGACUAAGAAAGGUAAUUUGUCGACUAUGAUCUAGGCAAACAAACAAUUCGUCGCCUAAGUUUCGUUGGCUAAGUGUGGUGAGGUAGGCACCUAGCCGACUGAACCAACUACAGUCGUUGACUAAGAAAGUCUCUAGCCAAUGAACGUAUUCCUGCCUUGUCCACAAGCCUAUUCGUCGAUAAGAACUCCCUAUUGACGAAAGGUUUUCAUCAGUAUAAGUGUUAGCUGACGAAUUUGAAAUUUUUCUUAGUCUACGAAAUAAUCGUCGGUAUGUAUUUAAACUGAUGAAUGUUGUUCUUAGUCGAUGGAAUAUGUAUCGGCAGAAUUCUAAACCGACGAAGUUGUAUCUUUCUUAGUCGACAUCUGUAUGAUCGUCGGCUAGUUGGUCAUCUCAGUCGACGAAUGUUAGGGUUUCCGUCACCUAAGAUAUUUUUGGUAUUUAUUAAAACUGUAAUUAUUUUUCACUCUAAAAAUUAAGAAAAUAACAAUAUAAUAAGCAACAGAUACAAUAAAAUCAUGAUUUCAAAAACAUAUUCAUAUUGAUAACUAGAUCGAAAAAUAUUGUUCAUACCAACUAAACUAUUAACGAAAACAAAAGUGCCAAAUGAACUAGGAAAUUGUUCAUACAAACUAAAUUAACAUAAGAAUUAAAUUCAGUUUACCCCCAUGAAAUUUGAGAGUAACUUCAUGUUAAUCCCUAUACUUUCAAUUUCAUCAGUUUACCCCUCAAAUUUUUGAAUUUUCCUCAAGCGUGACCAAAUGUCCUAUAUUCUGUUCAAAUCGGACGUUAACUGCUGAUAAUUUUAACCUUAACUGUGAGGCCAGUAUCUAGAAUUUGGGGAAAUCGGACCUUAUAUGUCCAAAUCGAACCUUAUCUGCUGAUAAUUAAAGGUCAAUUCAAACAGAAUAUGAGAAUUUGGGCACGGCAGACAGAAAUUGAAGAGUUCAAGGGGUAAACUAAUGAAAAUAAAAGUGUAGGGACUAACAUGAAGUCACCCCCAAACCACAAGGGGGUAAACUGAAUUUAAUUCUUAACAUAAACAAAAGUACUACAAAAUCCUAAAACAAAAGGUCAGUGUUGCCAAAUCCGCUGUUGUCGCCUCCAUCAUCAUUGUUGUGUGGGGAAAAUUGUGGAGGAGGAGGUUGUAUAUCUAGGUGUUCAUAUAGGGCUGUAACUUGUAGUUGCACUGCAUUAUACUUCAAUAAACACUGGGCACGCUCCUGAACCUCUUGGAUUUUCUACUGGGCACGCUCCUGAACCUCUUGGAUUUUCUACUGGGCACGCUCCUCUGACUCUUUUAGUUUAUGCUAAUAGUGCUCCUGAACCUCUUGGAGUUGCUGAUAUCAUCAACAUUAGGAGCACGACUACGUGAAGUCGAAUGUGAGGAAUGGCUCAAGUCUCGCUCGCCUCCUCGUCCCAUCCCUCUGAUCUCCUUUCCUUUCCGAGUUUUGAGCACCGGACUCAACACAUCAAUUUGUUGUGAUUGAACACUUUCCAUAAUCUGCUUCUUCGUCGCGUCAGGAUGUUUUUCCUUAAAUUCAUUCAUUCGUCUAUUGACCUCAUCAACCAUGUCAUUCUGCAUUUAAAAUACAUCAAUUAAUAAACAAAAUCUGCCCAACUUUUCCAUUAGCAUCUAAAACAGUAAGACUUGAAGCUUAAAUCUCAGCUUGAAACAAUGAGUGUAAACCCUUUUCCAAGAUUCAACAUGCAUCAAAUUCUAUAAUCUCAUGCAUGCAAGACACUUUCCUCACAGGACUACAAGUCUACAACUAAACAAGUUAGUGAAACCUUAAAACAGGAAAACAACACCUUUUCAUUCCAAGGAUACACAACAAACAAUAUAUAGAAAUAGUUUUAACAAGCAUGCUGUUGAUAUCAGUUCUUAUUAAUAGAGGACGCACUUAUUGGCACUAACCAAAAAAAAUGAAAUGUAACCAAACAUAAACAUAGGCCAUCACGAAUCGUUUUCCUCUCAAAACUGUUGAUACAAGCAUCUUAGAGAAACUUCAGACCAAAUAAAAGAAUGUCAGAACAACAUUUGUUCUGGAAAAUGCAACCCCUUGACCAUUAUUCAUCUAAAUAAUAUGUUGUGUAACCAAACCAACUCCAAUCAACAAUAUACAUGGGGGGCCAAUUUUUCCUUUAGCUUGAGCAACCAAAUGUUCUUCUGUAUCAUGAUCAAAACUUGAAACUUUGGAACUUUAAUUAAAAUAGAACUGCUAUGUUCUAUUCCAUCAAUUGGAGUUGAGUCUUGACAAAAAGUUUAUAAAAUUAAGUUUAAAAAUUAAAAUCAUGCAUUGGAGAUGGCCUUAAGCAGAGACCCACCACAAAACCCACUAGAAAUAACAACCGAUGAAUACCAGAUCAAGCAUCUUCAAACUGGUUGUAGCCAUCAAUAUGAUAGAGGUAAACUUUAGGUUACACUCGAUCAUGAUCCUUUUGAAAUGGUUUGAUACAAGCACUUUGAUUACAAGGUUCUAAUGUCCUAUGUCUACACAUAUAAGUUCAUGUCUACAUACAGACAAUACAAGUUCAACGUUACCCAUUGUCAGAUAAAUGUUGGUUCAUAUGAAUGUCUUUUUUCAUCUGAGUAAUGUUAGGUGAAUCAUCUAUAGCCCACUUUACGUGACAUGCCCACGUUAUCAAAAUAUGAUUUCUAAUAUUUUUUAAUUUCUAUCUUGUAUUCAUUACGGAAUUUUUUUUUUGUUACAUACGAAAUUUCUUUUUUCAUUUUUACUUUCUUAAUUUAAUUCUUUAAGCCCUAUCCUUUAUCUCUAAUCCUUUAAAAAAAAUCUGCCUACAAGCCUUCAAACAGCGUAGCCUCCUUCUCUCAUCUCACGCAUCCUCCCACCUCCUCUUUGAUUCAAUUGAUCAAGGAAUUCCUCUGUUUGAUUUUGGCUUUCUCGAUCAUAGGCAUCGUCUUCUAAUCGUGGCUAUAUUUUUUUUCCUUUUCAUAACAAGUUUGGAAUUAAGGGUUUGGGAGAGUGGAUUUGAAGUGGGGUUUUUUCGUACUCAACCUCAUAGCUAGCUGCGAUUCCUUUUCAAAUAGCCUUUGCUUGUUUUUUUUUUUUCUUUGCUUUUUUUUCAUAUGGUUGUGGUUGAUUAUGCAUAGAGGCUUGCACAUGAAAAACCCUCUUCUUUUUUUUUAGAAUGACACAUGAAUUGAAGAACCUUGAUUCACUCGGUUUGAGCACAAAGCAAUUGCAUGUAUUGGCUUGAAAACCUACAUUCUGGUGAAGACUUGUUUCUUGAAGGGUGCGAUAAAAAAACAGCAAAACAUAUGAGAAAGAACGCAACAAUGGUAUGAGUAUAAGGUUGGAAGUGGGUUACGGCUGUUUGAAGAUGUAUUAGGCUGUUUUUUUUUUAAAGGGAUUAGAAAGAUAAAGGAUAUAAAAAAAGAAAUUCAGUAAUGAAUAAAAAAUAGAAAUUGAAAAAUAUUAUAAAUUAUACUUUGAUGACGUGGGCAUGUCAUGUCACCAUGCAAUGUAAGGUGGGCUCUUGGUGUUCACCAAAAGGUGGUUCAUCUACCAUUACUUUUUUCAUCUUAUUUGCCUGUUUCUUUUGCAUUUCUCUUUUCUAGUUUACACUUAACCAUAUGAGCAAAAUUAUCUCGGGAACAAAAAACCAUAAUAUUGCAUCUUAGCAUCUCCAAAACCUUUAAAAUUGAUAGUUUACCUCUAAAUGUAUUUCCCCCAACAUAAGUAGGAUUAGAUUUCAAAUCCUCUGAACUUAUAUGAUUACAAUUGUGAAUUUUCUUGUCACGGGGAUCUGACUAGAAUUUAUUUUCUUCAACAGGCAUGGCAUUUCUUAGGGAAAUUGGUACUGCAAUUGUUACAAAGCUAGCUGAGUACACAGUUGAGCCAGUUAUACGCCAAGUGGGUUAUGUGAUCUGCUACAAAAACAACCUCAAAGAACUACAAUCUCAAGUUGAUGACUUGGUUGAUGCUAGAACAAGCAUGCAGCAUUCUGUCGAAGCAGAGGAAAGAAAAGGUAAAAAGAUUGAAACAGGAGUCCAGAACUGGCUGACUAAAGCGGAACAGUUGACUAAGGAAGCAGAUGAGGUGAAAGCUAAACACCUCGCACAGACCAAGUGUCUACAUGGCUUUUGUCCUAAUCUAAAGCUUCGUCAUCGUCUAAGCAGGAAAUCAACAAAAUUGGUCCAAGAGGUGGCUAAGCUUUGUGAGAAAAAGAAGACUUUUGAUAAUAUUGCAUAUGUUGCUCCCUUAGAAGAGGUGUGUGCAAUAGCUAUCCAAGAUUAUGAGGCCUUUGAUUCAAGGACUUCAACUGCGAAGGCUGUAAUCAACGAACUAAGAAAUUUUAAUACCCAUACGAUUGGGGUGUAUGGUAUUGGGGGUGUCGGAAAGACGACACUUGUUAAAGAGGUGUAUAAUCAAUUAGCUGUAACAAGUGAGAAGCUGUUUGAAGAGGUAGUUAUGGUACUCGAUCUUAAACAGAAUCCCAGCAUCGAACGAAUUCAGAAAGCAAUUGCGGAGAAGUUAGGCCUCGAGCUUCCUGAAACUGGGACCUCAGGAGGAAGAGCAAGUCUAAUAAGUAACAGGAUCAAAAACAAAAAGACUCUUGUGAUCCUAGAUGAUGUCUGGGAGAACAUUGAUUUGGAGGCUGUUGGUCUUCCUCGCAUGGCAACUCUCAAAAUCUUGUUGACUUCACGAAGUAAGCUAGUAUUAGCUAAAGACAUGGGUACACAAAAAGAGUUUCCUCUCAAAGUAUUGAACAAAGAAGAAACUUGGAGAUUAUUUCAGAAAAUGGCGGGUGAUAUUGUUGAAAAGCCAGACAUACAAACUAUAGCAGCCAAAGUGGCUGAGAAAUGUGGAGGUUUACUGCUUUUGAUAGUGACUGUUGCAAGAUCUCUGAAAGAUAGUCCAUUACAUGACUGGAAAGAUACUUUCAGACGACUGAAGAAGUUUGAUGGAAAAGGACUGGAAGAAAAAACAUACUCUGCCAUAGAGUGGAGUUACGAUAAAUUGAAUAGUGAGGAGCUUAAGUCGGUAUUUUUGCUUUGCGCAAGUGAGGUUGGGAGGGCCAAUGAUGUUGAUAUCCUUGACUUGUUGAAAUACAGUAUGGGGCUGGGUUUCAUAAAGAAUGUAGAUACAAUGGAAGAAGCACGGGAUGCAUUGAAUUCACUGCUUAUGAAGCUUCAGUAUUCUUGUCUGUUGCUAGAUACUGACGAUAAGCAAUUGGUCAGAAUCCAUGAUCUUGUCAAACAUGUUGCUCAACAUAUUGCUGCUAGAGAUCAUCAUGUGUUAUCAGUACCUUAUGGAAGUGAGUUGAGAGAAUGGCCAGAUAAGGAAUUCUGCAAAAAAUGCACUUGGAUCUCUCUCAUAUACUGCCAAACUCCCGAGCUUCCUCAAGUUCUGCAAUGCCCAGAACUAACAAUGUUUCAUUCAAGCAGUGUUGAUGUUGACUCCCGUGAAAUUCCAAGCAACUUUUUUAAAGAGAUGAAGAAACUCAAAGUUUUAGAUUUAACUAAACGGAGUAUUGCAUCGCUACCUCCAUCUCUUAAAUGCCUCAAAGAUCUUCACACGUUGUGCUUGGAUCAAUGCACGUUGGGAGACCUUGCUCUAGUUGGUGAGUUACAUAACUUGAAUAUCUUGAGCUUGUUAUAUUCCAAGUUCAAAGAAUUACCUAAAGAGAUAGGGAAAUUAACUCGUCUACGAUUGUUGGAUUUGACCUGCUGUUCUCAACUCGAAGUGAUUUCACCUGAUGUUAUAUCCAAGUUGAAACGACUCGAAGAGUUGAGAAUGGGAAAGAACAGCUUUAACAAAUGGGAGGCUGGAAGAGUCGGCGAGACUAAAAGAAGUAAUGCAAGCCUUGAAGAGCUAAAGUACUUGCCUCGGCUAACCGCAUUACAUAUACAUAUCCCAGAUGCCACCAUACUUCCAGCAAAUUUGUUCACCACUAGUAAGUUGGAGAGAUUCCAAAUAUGUAUUGGUUCUAUGUGGAAAUGGGAUGAUGUUGAUGAAGCUCUCAAUGCACUAAAGCUCAAGCUCACUACCAACAAUGAAUUGGACCAAGGUCUAACAAUGUUGCUCAAAAGAACUCAAGACUUGUACGUGGAGGGGAUGGAGGGUGUUAAUGACAAGUUUUUCCGUGAAUUAGCCACAGGAGGUUAUCAGCAAUUGAAACAUUUACAUGUCCAAAACAAUGCUAAAGUGGCAUACACCAUUAAUGAGAAGGUACCACCUUACAUUUAUCGUUUCAUUUUAUCUUAUUUUUGCAUUUUUGUUAUUAUGAUGCAUAGUUAUUUUUUAGCGUAUUGAUUGUUCUACUACAUUUAGUUGAUGAGCUAUUCAUCCGGAGUAAAUAAUUAAUUACAUGCAAUUUGUUAUUUCCUAAACAUGUUAUCAGGUUGGUUUUCCUAACUUAACAUGGUUGGCGGUGAGUGAGCACAACGGUUUAAGAUUCUUGUUAUCAUCUUCAAUGGCUAGAAGUUUAUCACAACUAAAACGUCUUCAAAUUUCCGGAUGUCAAAUCAUGGAAGAGGUAAUUUCAAUAGAAGAAUCUAAUCAAGAAAUUGCCCAUAACUUCUUUCCCCAACUACAAGAUCUGGAGCUAAAAGGCCUUCCAAACCUCACUAAACUCUGCUCAACAAGUUACGUUGAAUUGCCAAAUCCAUCCUAUGAGAGAUUGCAAUUAGAGGACAGUACUGCAACUGGUGGCAUCUGUGAAGAAUUUGAAGAGAUUCACUCAAAAAGAAACCUUGAUAUUGUGAGGCAACACUUUAUUUUUGAAAAUAAGGUGAACAAAUACGUUUUUUUUUCUUUCCAGCAGUAAUAUAUAUAUAAUAUAUAUAUAUAUAUAUAUAUAUAUAUAUAUAUACAUAUCCAAUAUUCUCUAAACAACAAAGAACGGUUUUUUUGUGAGGGACAACUGAAUAUUACUGCUGAAAAUAAAUGCACAGUUUUAAGUUAUUAUAAAUAAGUGUAUCAUCCUCUCAUCUCCAUAAAAGUAUUGGUUCGUUUUUGUUAAUGGAUACAUAAAUAAGGUGAAUAUCAUGUAUAUGCAGGUGGAGUUUCCAAACUUGAAGAAGUUAUCCCUUAAUGGCCUAGCAAAGUUGACGACAAUAUGGAACAAUCAUCUUUCUCUAGGGAGUUCAAAAAACCUAGAGACAAUAGAGAUUGUUUCGUGUGACAAUUUGAAGAGUGUUUUUCCAGCUUCUGUGGCCAAAAGUCUUCAACAGUUGAGGAGUCUAGAAGUGAAAAAUUGUGGGGUUGAGGAAAUCAUUUCACAAGAAGAGGGUGUACUGAUAGCACUUAUGUUUGUUUUUUCAAAAUUAUCAUAUGUGAGAUUUGAGAACUUGCCCAAACUCAAGAGCUUCUAUCCAGGAUUUCAUGAUUGUAAGUGGCCGUCACUUGAAACUUUGGCAGUGUAUGAUUGUAAUGAAGUGCAUAUAUUUGCGGAUGGUACGCGUGUGUUAAAUAAUCUCUAUACCCCAGAUAAACAAUCUCUGUUUUUACUUGAGAAGGUAACAGUACUAUUACAUAUUUAAUUCCUCUUCAUACCAGUGUUAAAUUAUCUAUAAGCGCUAAAUUAAAUUCUCCAUUCAAAUCUGAAGUUUGUUGCUCUACUUAAAGUAUUUAUUGAUAUAACUGACCAGAAGUUAUGGAAUUGAUUUUUCAGGAUUCAUUCCCGAACUUGGAAUAUUUAGGCUUGGACGUACUGGAGAACUGGGAUAGUCCGCCACUCCACUUGUUGAGGAACCUCAAGCUUCUUUGUAGUAAAGCACACACCAACUCAUCUUUGAAUUCCCUUGAGCAACUACUUGGUCUUGAAAAAGUCAAUGGAGAAAUACAUGCAGCUGGGAAUGCUACCUUUCCGUUUUUAAGAGAGUUGCACCUUCACGGGAUGAGGAAUCUGAUGAAUCUUGGGGAUGAUAGCUUCGGACUAGCAGGCCUAUAUUUUCCAAAAGUGGAAAUUCUAGAGCUAGAGGAUUGUGACAGCUUAAAGAAUUUAAGAUCAUCAGCAAUAUCUUUCAACAAUCUAACAACAUUGCAAGUAAGUCGUUGUAAGGGAUUGAACUACCUGAUAUCUUUAUCCAUGGCCACAUGUUUGAUGCAACUCACAAAACUAGAAGUUGGUGAUUGUGAGGAAAUGAUAGAAAUAGUUGCAAGCAGUGGAAAUGAUGAUUUAGCAAAUGAGAUUGAAUUCAGGGUGUUGAAACAUUUGGAGCUGUCUAAUCUACCAAGUCUGAGAGGCUUUUGCUCGGGAACUCACAUUGUCAAAUUCCCCUGCUUGGAAAACUUAUCGAUGACUAGUUGUACUCAACUGGAGGGAUUCAUCUUUGAUUCUACGGAUAAAAGUACACUCGGCAACGAUAUCGAAGACGCCAACUCAAAUGAAAACACUGACACUGGAGUAGUGCAACGAUUCCUUUUGAACAACAAGGUGAAAUAACUAAUCGUAAAUCUGUUUAUAGUUUCUCUAACAGUUGUAUAAGAUAACUAAUAUAUAUUUUUGUACAGGUUGAACUACCGAGGUUGAUGAGCUUGUCACUCAAGGGUCUAACAAAGUUGACCGCAAUAUGGCACAAUCAACUAUCUGAUAACUCUUUUGACGGUGAAAAUCUAAACUCGGUAGAAAUUGAUUCUUGUGAGAGCUUGAAAUAUAUAUUUCCAGCGACCGUGGCCAAAAGACUUGAGAGGUUAAGCAAGUUGAUAGUGAACAAGUGUGGAGUGGAGGAAAUCGUUGCAAUCGAAGGGGAACCACAAACAAUGCGGAAGUUUAUUUUCCCAAAAGUCACCUGUGUGAAAUUUACAGAACUCCCCAAUCUUACAAGUUUCUAUCCAGCCAUGCAUGCUUCCAGUUGGCCAGCACUUCAAAAGUUGGAGGUUCUUGGAUGUUACAAACUAGAGAUUUUAGCUGAGACACUUGCAAGCUUCCAAGGGAAAUACGAGUCAAACCUGUCUGCUCCAAUUAAACAAACUCUCUUUACAAUUGAGAAGGUACGGAUGCUUCUACACUUUCCCUUUCUCUUUGCAACAAUUAAUGGUUCCUAAACUAUGCAGAGGAUAUAAUUGACCUCCCAAUCUCUGACUCUAUUUCGGGUAUUAAUUUUUAUCAAUUUUAGGAUUCUUUCCCCAGCUUGGAAUACUUGAAACUAUCCAGCAUGGAGAUAUGGAAUGGUCCACUACCAGUCCACAUCUUUAAAAAACUAAAGUCCCUUGUGGUUUGGUGUCCACAGUCCAAGUCAGUUGUUGUCCUUGACAAAUUACUCGAUGAAGGAAACUCCAGUACUAGUACUAGGGAAAGAGAUGAUGCAGUUGAGUUCCGGACCCUUCCAAAUUUAAGAGGGUUGGAUGACUUGAUUAAAUCUUCGUUUAAUGCCCCACCUGAUGCAUCUUGGCGAGGAUAAUUCACAAUCAGCCACCCGCAUCCCAAAUUUUCCAAACCUGGAAUUUCUAGACGUGAUGGGUUGUCCCAGCUUAAGGAAUCUGAGAAUAGGGCCAGUCCUGGAGGAUUGAAGGCCCAGCGCGGAAAAAAAUGUUGUGCCCCUUAUAUCAAUUUUUUUUCAAAAAUACUUUUUUAUUUUUGGAUUUCAAACCUCUGAAUAUACUCUUAAUAUUGUUAUUAAAAAUACAUUUUAUAUAAACUUUUUUGGCCCUUAUGAAUAAUAUUUUUUCUUGAUUAUUUGGAUUAGUAUAGAUAUAAAUUGUAUUGUUCAUAUGAUUUUCUCACUUGAACAUUUGCUCAACUACCAUUAGAUUAUAGAAGUAUGCAAUGAAAUAUGCGAUAUGUUAAUCUUGCAGGAGAGUGACAUGCUCUUUCAACCUGCCAAAAGAUUCCUGCCUGCAAUCCAAGAGGUAAACAAAAUUUUAGAGUGAUUAGCCAAGUACAUAUGCCUUAACCUCACAUAUAAGGAACUAUCGUUUCCUUGCAAUUGCAGCAGUCUUCACUCAACAGAUAAACUUAAUGCUAGUGUUUGUGACAUGAUAGAUACGCAUACUGUUGGAGGAAAUAGCAAGAAAGAUUGAAGGUGCAAGAGUAGAGGACAAUAGAUUCUGCAUCAGUGUACAUUACCGGAAUGUCCGGGAAGAGGUAGAAAUAUAUAGUCUAAUGUCUCAUCUCAUUGUUAUCUUUAUAUUCAGUUAUACAUGAAAAUUUCUAAAAGUUAUGUCCCCCUGCAGGAUUAUGACAUAUUAGAAGAAAAGGUGAAGGCUGUGAUUGAAACUUAUCCUGAGUUUCACCUGACUCGGGGUAAAAAGGUAGGAUAAAUAAUCCACAAGUUAUGUUAGCCUUUUAAGGAAGACAUAGUAGAUUGUUAGAUUUAUUAUAUGUGAUCCUUUUAGGUCCUGGAGGUACGACCAUCUAUAGAAUGGAACAAAGGGCAUGCGCUUGAAUAUCUACUUGACACCCUUGGAUUCAGUAACUCAGGUGACGUCCUCCCAUUGUACAUAGGGGAUGAUCGAACAGAUGAAGAUGCUUUCAAGGUGAUAGAAGCCAGAGGACAGGGAUUUCCAAUAAUCGUGUCCUCCACCCCAAAGGAAACCAAAGCUGCUUAUUCUCUGCACGAUCCAUCGGAAGUGUUGACAUUCUUANNNNNNNNNNNNNNNNNNNNAUCUAUAAGCGCUAAAUUAAAUUCUCCAUUCAAAUAUGAAGUUUGUUGCUCUACUUAAAGUAUUUAUUGAUCAUAACUGAUCAGAAGUUAUGGAAUUGAUUUUUCAGGAGUCAUUCCCCAACCUGGAAUCUUUAGGCUUGGGCAUAAUGGAGAACUGGGAUAGUCCGCCACUCCAUUUGUUUAGGAAGCUCAAAUCUCUUUAUACUUAUGCACACACCAACUCAUCUUUGAAUUCCCUUGAGCAAUUACUUGGUCUUGAAAAAGUCAAUGGAGAAAUACAUGCAGCUGGGGAUGCGACCUUCCCGUUUUUAAGAGAGUUGCACCUUCACGGGAUGCGGAAGCUGAUGAAUCUUGGGGAUGACAGCUUAGGACUAGCAGGCCUAUAUUUUCCAAAACUGGAAAGUCUAAAGCUAGAGGAUUGUGACAGCUUAAAGAAUUUAAGAUCAUCAGCAAUAUCUUUCAACAAUCUAACAACCCUGCAAGUAAGUCGUUGUAAGGGAUUGAACUACCUGAUAUCUUUAUCCAUGGCCACAUGUUUGAUGCAACUCACAAAACUAGAAGUUGGUGAUUGUGAGGAAAUGAUAGAAAUAGUUGCAAGCAGUGGAAAUGAUGAUUUAGCAAAUGAGAUUGAAUUCAGGGUGUUGAAACAUUUGGAACUGUCUAAUCUACCAAGUCUGAGAGGCUUUUGCUCGGGAGCUCGCAUUGUCAAAUUCCCCUGCUUGGAAAACUUAUCGAUGACUAGUUGUACUCAACUGGAGGGAUUCAUCUUUGAUUCUACGGAUAAAAGUAGACUUGGCAACGAUAUCGAAGACGCCAACUCAAAUGAAAACAUUGACACUGGAGUAGUGCAACGAUUCCUUUUGAACAACAAGGUGAAAUAACUAAUCGUAAAUCUGUUUAUAGUUUCUCUAACAGUUGUAUAAGAUAACUAAUAUAUAUUUUUGUACAGGUUGAACUACCGAGGUUNNNNNNNNNNNNNNNNNNNNUUUUAGUUCUAUGGGUGUUCAGCUUAUAGAUUAUAAGACUAGUUACUAAGAGGUUUGAAAAUAUUUGUUUUGUACUCGGUUAAUUUGACCUUCUGGCAUUGUAAGAUAUGUUCAUCAAGUCCUUCAGUUUUAAAUUGACUCUGCUUCUUGUCUUU